rnacentral:misc_RNA from 1 species
AAGUCGUAACAAGGUUUCCGUAGGUGAACCUGCGGAAGGAUCAUUAACAAAUCUAUACAACAUUCACCUGUUGCACUGGCUGGGAAUGCUGCAAGAUCAAAGUAAUUAAAACUACUCUGCUUGCAGUUGAACCAGAGAUGUUGCUGCGCUUGCUUUGGCUUGUCCUUGGAGUUAUCCCAUCUGUGGAUGGCUCUGUCUCUUAGGAUUGCCAAUGUCUCGCAAGGCAACUUACAUAAACUGUCUAUUUUAUUGUCUAAUUGUACGUUAUGAGGGAUUAAUACAACUAUUAGCAGUGGAUCUCUUGGCUCCCA